CAACAACUGGGUGCCGCUGUCGCCGGCUUUAUACCGCAGACUGUACAGCUCCUUGUUGCCGCUCCAGUCAGCAGGCAGCAGCUCGGACUUCUUGUCGCUGGCGCGGGGCUGCAGUGAACGAAACACACCACGGCGUCCUGCGGGCAGCUGAUGCUGCCAGCGACACAGGUGUACAACACCUCUAAGCCCGCCAUGUCUCUUAUUAUCUACCCACUACGGCAACAUCAGUUCGGUUUCUAGCGGAGGAGUGAAAUCGAAAGUGUCGACAGGUCAACGGCGACAAGCAACAGCAACCACUUCCCGUCUGCGCCUUUCAGUGUAAAAGCCCAGCAAAAAAAAAAAAGCUACCAACUUUCACGAAUGUUGCAGACAAACUUUUGCCGAUGGCUUAUUAAAAACUGAGAAACCCAAGAGCCCCUAUUAUCCAACGUGUGUAGCUGCAGACUUGAUGGCGUGGAGAGGUCUCGCUGAAGGAUUUAAGUGCCAUCACACUGCCAGAGUGGAGGAGGAUUUUUCCACAAACUGUAAUUAAUGGCUUAUAACAGAUCUGCUAAGCAUUAAUAAUAACCAAUAGUAAAGCAUUUAAUUAAUGAAAGAAAGUGGUACAAAUAAAUGUUAAGAAUAUUGAAGUUAAUAAGUGGACCUUGACCCUUAAAUUAACAUUUAAUUUUUUUUCCCCCCAUUAUUUCAAUUUAUUUAUUUAUUUUUUGGUCAUACAAUAAUAGUGUUAUUUUAUCAAGCCCAGGUCUUGUAGGUUUAUGAUGACACUGAUACGAUUUAAUUUUUGUAACGGCAUAUUAAGUUUUAAUGAAGUCUGAUUUAAUCAAAAAAAGU